CAAGUCGAGUGCGCGCCUGUAGCAAUACAGGUGGCGCACGGCGCACGGGUGCGUAACACGUGGAUAAUCUGCCCUCUGUUGGGGAAUAACUCGCCGAAAGGCGAGCUAAUUCCGCAUAAUAUUCCGAGAACUUCGGUUUUUGGACUGAAAGGCGUAAGUCGUCGGAGGAGGAGUCCGCGCACGAUUAGCUAGUUGGUAGGGUAAUGGCCUACCAAGGCUUUGAUCGUUAGCUGGUCUGAGAGGAUGGCCAGCCACACUGGAACUGAGACACGGUCCAGACUCCUACGGGAGGCAGCAGUGGGGAAUCUUGCACAAUGGGCGAAAGCCUGAUGCAGCGACGCCGCGUGGGGGAUGAAGCAUUUCGGUGUGUAAACCCCUUUCGAUCCGGACGAAAACCUCGCAAGAGGAUUGACGGUACGGAUAUAAGAAGCCCCGGCUAACUACGUGCCAGCAGCCGCGGUAAGACGUAGGGGGCCAGCGUUGUUCGGAAUUACUGGGUGUAAAGGGUUCGUAGGCGGUGCGGCAAGUUGGGAGUGAAAUCUCUGGGCUCAACCCAGAGGCUGCUUCCAAAACUGCUGUGCUUGAGUGUGAGAGAGGCUCGUGGAAUUGCAGGUGUAGCGGUGAAAUGCGUAGAUAUCUGCAGGAACACCCGUGGCGAAAGCGGCGAGCUGGAUCACUACUGACGCUGAGGAACGAAAGCUAGGGGAGCAAACAGGAUUAGAUACCCUGGUAGUCCUAGCCCUAAACGAUCAGGACUUGGGGUGCCACCCGUUCGGGUGUCGUCCCGGAGCUAACGCGUUAAGUCCUGCACCUGGGGAGUACGGUCGCAAGACUGAAACUCAAGGAAAUUGACGGGGGCCCGCACAAGCGGUGGAAACAUGUGGUUCAAUUCGACGCUACGCGAGGAACCUUACCUGGGCUCGAAAUGCCAGUGACA
rnacentral:rRNA from 1 species